GCUGGAUCGGGUUUUACCGGUGAGUUUUGAAGCUAACAAUGUUAUAAACUAGAUCGAGUUUUACCGGUGAGUUUUGAAGGUGACAAGGUAUGGGUUCUUUUUGGUUUUCUCUCGGGGAUUAUUAUUAUAGUUAUUUUCUAUUUAUAUAUUACUUAUGGUUACUGAAAGGAAUUUUUGUAAGAACGGGACAUUGAAAUUUUCAUUUUUAGCCUUACAAUAAUCUGUAUGCAAAGUCUCUCCCUGUUUUGAUUCAAGAGGAAAUGUAAAAGUGAUUAUGGCUACCAACAGAAUUGAAAGUCUUGAUCAUGCUUUGUUACGACCUGGUCGUAUUGACUAAUAUGUAACACCAUUAUUAAGUUAACUUUGGGUGGAUCAUAGCUACUCAUUUGUCUCUGUACUCGACAAUCCUUAUUAUCCCAGUAGUACUGUUGUUUGGUUAUGGCCCUGAUGCUCCCCCUAGGAAGUUAUUCCUGCAAAGGAAGAAUCUUGAAGUUCAUGAUUUCAAGGAGGCCAAUUGUGCUUUUUUUUGUUCUGGGCUUUACUGUGGUCGUCCUACGUUUUAAUCCUCCCGCUGCAGAUCACAAUUGUUGGAAUAAACCCGAGUCAAUUAACGGGGAACGACCUCUCUUACAAGUGAACACAUCCUCUUCCGGAUCAGAUGUUGCAGGUGAAACUACAGUAGCCAUGGCAUCAGCGUCUUUGGUUUUCAGAAAUACGAAUCCUACAUAUUCAAUGGACAAGUAAGCAUAUUGCUAUUUUCAUUUCGAAUAAU